AGGCUACGAGUUGGUAGAGCAUUCGGCUGUAGUGGUAAGGGUCCCUGGUUCGAGUCCGGGUCACUG